UUGCUUUUGGAAGAGAGUUACUGAUGUAACUCAACACCUUGGGUUUUUAUUAACGAGAUGCUGAGUGAACAAAAGUAAUACUAAUCAAUUCAGAGGGAAGUAUAUUUUUAAGUGUUCUUUCCCACAUCUUGGUGAGAUCCUUUUAAAAUACUUAAUGCAUGGGUUAUUUUCCCUUGUGACUUCCAUGAUUUUGCCUGAUUUUUCAUCUAUUUCCCAUAAUGUUCAUCUGUAGAACAAUGAUUAGAGUCACUCACAUAAGAGAGUGAAAAUAGCUUAUUCUGAAUAUUAGUAAUGAGAUGUGUUAGAAGCCAUCAAAAUGUGAAAUUAAAAAUAUAUCAGUGAGUCAUCUUUAUAAACUCACAUUCCUUUUAGUAUUUGUUGCAAGCAAAGAAUCCUGCUAGAUUCUAAAUCUUAAGUUGCAAGGGGCAAGAAAAAGAAAAGAAAACUUAAAAGUUCCCUCUAUUACUUUUUAGAUCUAAUACCAGUAAGACUGUACUCUGUUGGUAUUGUUUAUCUUCAUUUAUUUUUUGCAGUAUUUUUGUCUGUAAGGCUAAGAUUUUGCAAAUUACAUUGAAUUCUUUCUUUUUAU
rnacentral:lncRNA from 1 species